CCUACGGGGGGCAGCAGUGAGGAAUAUUGGUCAAUGGGCGCGAGCCUGAACCAGCCAAGUCGCGUGAGGGAAGACGGUCCUAUGGAUUGUAAACCUCUUUUGUCGGGGAGCAAAAGACGCCACGCGUGGCGUUCCGAGAGUACCCGAAGAAAAAGCAUCGGCUAACUCCGUGCCAGCAGCCGCGGUAAUACGGAGGAUGCGAGCGUUAUCCGGAUUUAUUGGGUUUAAAGGGGGCGCAGGCGGAAGAUCAAGGCAGCGGUAAAAUUGAGGGGCUCAACCUCUUCGAGCCGUUGAAACUGGUUGUCUUGAGUGCGCGAGAAGUAUGCGGAAUGCGUGGUGUAGCGGUGAAAUGCAUAGAUAUCACGCAGAACUCCGAUUGCGAAGGCAGCAUACCGGCGCUCAACUGACGCUCAUGCACGAAAGUGUGGGUAUCGAACAGGAUUAGAUACCCCAGUAGUC
rnacentral:rRNA from 1 species